rnacentral:rRNA from 1 species
CACGUAGGGGACGAGCGUUGUCCGGAUUCAUUGGGCGUAAAGCGCGCGUAGGCGGCUCGGAAAGUCGGUCGUGAAAUGCCGGGGCUCAACCCCGGGACUGCGUCCGAUACUCUCGAGCUGGAGGCAGGUAGGGGAGAUCGGAAUUCCUGGUGUAGCGGUGAAAUGCGUAGAUAUCGAGAGGAACACCUGCGGCGAAGGCGGGUUGCUGGGCUGACACUGACGCUGAGGCGCGAAAGCUAGGGGAGCGAACGGG